rnacentral:rRNA from 1 species
AAUAUUGCGCAAUGGGCGAAAGCCUGACGUAGCAUCGCCGCGUGGGGAAUGAAGGCCUCGGGUUGUAAUCCCCUUUCAGCAGGGAUGAAAAUGACGGUACUUGCAGAAAAAGCCCCGUCCAACUACUUGCCAGCAGCCGCGGUAACACGUAGGGGGCAAGCGUUUUCCGGAUUUAUUGGGCGUAAAGAGGUCGUAGGCAGUUGGGUAAGUCGGAUGUGAAAACUCAGGGCUCAACCCGGAGACGCCAUUUGAAACUGCGCUGAAUAGAGUCCGGUAGGGGAGCAGGGAAUUCUUGGUGUAGCGUUGAAAUACGCAGAUAUCAGGAGGAACACCAGUAGCGAAGGCGGGGCUCUGGGCCGGAACUGACGUUGAGGAGCGAAAGCGUGGGUGCCAAACAGGAUUAGAUACCCUGGUAGUCCCCCCCGUA